GUGAGACUCUUUAACGGNCGCGGUAUCCUAACCGUGCAAAGGUAGCGCAAUCCCUUGUCCUCUAAUUGAGGACUAGUAUGAAAGGCACCAUGAGGGCUCAACUGUCUCCUAGAACCCAACAAUGAAAUUGAACCCCCAGUCCAAACGCUGGGAUGAACACAUAANACGAGAAGACCCUGUGGAACUUCAACUAUUAUACUAGCAGCCACCCUCCCCCUACAUCACUCCCCCUANUAAAAUUUUCGGUUGGGGCAACCGUGGAGUAAAAUAAAACCUCCAUUACCACGACUAAUCAUCGAAUCAAAGGCCUACACGCUACUGAAACACUAUCUGAUCCGGCACAGCCGACCAACGAACCAAGCUACCCCAGGGAUAACAGCGCCAUCUCCUUCAAGAGUUCUUAUCGUCAGGGGGGUUUACGACCUCGAUGUUGGAUCAGGACCCCCUGGUGGUGUAGCCGCUACCAACGGCUCGUUUGUUCAACGAAUAAUGUCCUACGUGAU
rnacentral:rRNA from 1 species